rnacentral:rRNA from 1 species
GAUGAACGCUAGCGGCAGGCCUAACACAUGCAAGUCGAGGGGUAACAUAGGAAAGCUUGCUUUUCUGAUGACGACCGGCGCACGGGUGCGUAACGCGUAUACAACCUACCUUUUAGCGGGGAAUAGCCCAGGGAAACUUGGAUUAAUGCCCCAUAGUAUAUAGACUUCUCCUGAAGUUUAUAUUAAACAUUUAUGGCUAUUAGAUGGGUAUGCGUCCUAUUAGUUAGUUGGUAAGGUAACGGCUUACCAAGGCAGCGAUAGGUAGGGGUCCUGAGAGGGAGAUCCCCACACUGGUACUGAGACACGGACCAGACUCCUACGGGAGGCAGCAGUGAGGAAUAUUGGACAAUGGGCGAGAGCCUGAUCCAGCCAUGCCGCGUGCAGGAAGACUGCCCUAUGGGUUGUAAACUGUCUUUUACAGAGGAAGAACCCACCCCACGUGUGGGGGUUUGACGGUACUCUGCGAAUAAGGAUCGGCUAACUCCGUG